CCAAAGUUGAUGAGAAAAAAUAAACCACCGCAUAAGAUGAAAGAGAAAAAUAAACGUUGAGAAAAGGUAAAGAGAAUACGAGUGGUGAUGGUGGUCAGAGGAAACAGUGGAGACAAUGCCGACAAUGGUGGAAGCAAUGAUGGUUGUAAAAAAUAAAAUAAUUGGCAUAUGUGAUGGUAGUGUUACAAAUAGAAAUGACUGAGGCGGAAAAAAAUGAAAUGGUCGGAGAUGGAAGAAGAUAAAAUUAUUAACGUAGAAGAAAAGAAAAUAUCUGGUGUGUGUAAUACCAAAAAGUAAAAAAUCAAUUAAUACAUGAUCUAUACUAUAUUAAAAGGGUUAUAUGAACAUCAGAGAGUGUGUCCACGUAGGCUUAAAAAAUCAACCAAUGAAAAACUUGAUUUUUGCCACGUCACGUCAGCUUAUUAGAAAAUGAAAAAAAAUUGGGUUCUUUGUGUCGACUCAUCCUAUUUCGUUUUGGCCCAAAUCGACCCACUUCCAAACCCUAAUAUCGUAUGGAAGUGUCUAUCAGUUCUGACUCACACCCUUCGUCUUCUCCUUUUCAUGUUCAUUAUCUCUGUUACUGCGAUCCAUAUCCUAUCAAUCAAUAUGUUCUUCACUCCCAUCUUUAUGGAUUCUUUUCAACUCCCUUUUUAUUUCUUUUUUUCCCCAUUAAUUUCAACCCUAAAACAGGGAUCUGAAACAGUACAAUCGUCCAAUGUACCAGAGAAACGUCGGCUCUAGGUUACAAGGCUUCAACCUCAGUCACAAACAAACAAUCUAAUAGCAGAGAGGAGAAUGGUAUGAGCAAAAGAAGGCUCGAGAAACUGAGUCCCGACCCCGAAU
rnacentral:lncRNA from 1 species